CCUUCGAUAGCUCAGUUGGUAGAGCGGUGGACUGUAGAUUUGGAGUGUCAUAUCACGGGGCAUCAAUAGUAAUCCAUAGGUCGCUGGUUCAAAUCCGGCUCGAAGGA
rnacentral:tRNA from 2 species